ensembl:lncRNA
GUUGAGUUCUAGCUUGUGAAUAUCCUAGGUCUUCCUCUUAACCAAUCUCAGAAAAAGUGACUUCACAGAAACUGCCUGCAGUCAUUAAUGUAAAACUGAACAUACAUUCUUUCACACUCCAACACAAUGCAUUAAUGCAAGAAAUGUAGAUUAUUGCACAGCUGAAUGUCAACAUUGUGCUAAGUACCUCUUAGGAAAAAAGAAGAGAUAAAUUUUAAACAAGUGAACAAAAAAAAUAACAGUUUAAUGACAUAAAAGGUUGAAACCGGAGAAAUCCUCAGAUUCGCGAACGCUGUGCGUUUGUCAGACCUAUUUGCUAUUAUUUUUUAAUCAACGGUCAACUAGGCAUUAAAAGCAUCUUACUGUAUAAAUUAUGCAGAUUUAUUUUCAUAUGUGACAGUAUUGAAAGACCAAUAAGAUUAAUACGAGUUGACCUCGGUCAAAUGCAGACUUUUUUAAAGCCGUUAAUGAAGGUAAUUUGUACAACAGUAAAGUGUUUUGUAUCUGUACAUUUGGGCAAUAACUUUAUGAAUGUUUCGUUUUGUACUCUGAAUACAUUUUCUCAUGGCCUCACUGUCUUGCCACAGCAACGAGUUUUUUUAAAACAAAGGAUUUUUUUAAACGACUUUAUUAUCAUAUAAACCCACAACCACCUGUUUAAACUCCAAAUGUCAUGAAUGAGUUUUCAGUUUUGACACACCAAGAUGGUUGUCUUUUUGUACUGUUUUAGCAAAAAAUAAAUAAAAAUCCCAUUACUUAAAAUUGUUCAAGCAAAGCCAAACAUGGCAUUGGCAGCUUUUGCUCGAACCUCUGCAUUGGCAGGAAGUUAUAUGCAAAGUUGAAAGGUCAUUAUGCUGAGGUCAAGUAGUCAGCUUGAUUCAGAUGAAACCUGUUAUGUGUAGCAUAAACAUUCCAAGCAGUAAUCUAAAACAUCCCCUUCCUCACCUCUAAGAAGCAUUACAAUCAAAUUAGGGGAAAUGUGCUACUUUAUAUAUGCAAUGUAUUUUGGAUAUUGAAUAUAUGAAUCUAUAUAUAAUUUUGCAAUUAAUCAUUUUGUUAUUAUUGUCAUUCCUGCAAUGUAUUAAGUAUUAUGUUUUGUAAAAGGGUUGUAUAGGAAAAUGUGACAAAAUAAAUGUUUUUACUUCAAAACAG